rnacentral:rRNA from 1 species
GAAAAACCAGAAAAGAAAUGGGAAAAAAAAAAACAACUUUGAGCGG